rnacentral:lncRNA from 1 species
CGGUCAUCUUGUCAUAUACCUCCUUAUCUUUCAGAUCCUGGCUCAGUUGAGACUCGCCACACAUUUUCGGCUGGUGAUUGGCUCUGAUACCAAAUGUAACGACCCAGCCCACUAGCAACAAUAACUCGUUGGGCCCAAACACCGGCCCAAAAUACUUAAGUCCAGUUAUUAUUACUAGUGUCUAAGUCUCUUAUAUACCCAAUCACAUCGCCAUUCCUAUCAGAUGUGGGAUUAUUGGGGUGUGACACAGAGUCUCCUCUGUAUUUGCACGGCGUCGCAUAAGUACAUCAUACAACCACAUUGUAUAUAUAUCCACAUACAAUCACCACAUCACAUUCAUUCCAUCACAAGUUUACCGUAUGAUAUUCAUAAUUCUACAUCUAUCAGUUUAAAACGUUUCCCACUCGGAAACUUAUUUUGAAAUACUAAGAUUUAUGAAAAUUGAAACACCCUUUUUAAAACUGUUUCCCACACGGAAAUCUUUUCUUUAAAAAAAAUGCUACCACGAAGGGUAGAAAACUAUUUUUAUAAUCUCAUAAGAAAA